AACGAACGCUGGCGGCAUGCCUAACACAUGCAAGUCGAACGAGACCUUCGGGUCUAGUGGCGCACGGGUGCGUAACGCGUGGGAAUCUGCCCUUCGGUUCGGAACAACAGUUAGAAAUGACUGCUAAUACCGGAUAAUGACGUAAGUCCAAAGAUUUAUCGCCGAAGGAUGAGCCCGCGUAAGAUUAGGUAGUUGGUGGGGUAAUGGCCUACCAAGCCGACGAUCUUUAGCUGGUCUGAGAGGAUGAUCAGCCACACUGGGACUGAGACACGGCCCAGACUCCUACGGGAGGCAGCAGUGGGGAAUAUUGGACAAUGGGCGAAAGCCUGAUCCAGCAAUGCCGCGUGAGUGAUGAAGGCCUUAGGGUUGUAAAGCUCUUUUACCAGGGAUGAUAAUGACAGUACCUGGAGAAUAAGCUCCGGCUAACUCCGUGCCAGCAGCCGCGGUAUACGUCUACUG
rnacentral:rRNA from 1 species